rnacentral:rRNA from 1 species
UACGUAGGGUGCAGGCGUUAUUCGGAUUUACUGGGCUUAAAGAGUUCGUAGGCGGCGCAGAAAGUAGGGUGUGAAAGCCCUCGGCUUAACCGAGGAAUUGCGCUCUAAACUACUGUGCUUGAGGGACCUAGAGGUGGGCGGAACUGAUGGUGGAGCGGUGAAAUGCGUAGAUAUCAGGAGGAACACCAAUGGCGAAGGCGGUGGUCUGGGCCGGAACUGACGCUGGAGGAGCGGAAAGCGUGGGGAGCGAACAGG